rnacentral:lncRNA from 1 species
CCAAAGACUUCUAUUCGAGGGCACAUGAAUGAGAGAGAUGUGAAGCAUCGUGUAAAUUCCAAAGAGACCUUAUCAUAUAAGUCUCUUGAUUUUAAUAUUCCUUCUGAUGGGGUAGUUGGAAUUUAUGGAAAGAUGUUUCACAUGCCCUCUCUUCAAAUAUAAAUAGGGGUCGUCAGAUGGGAGGAGGGCAUUCGAAUCAAUUCUGCUCCUUUGUCUUGUUAAGACAAGAAUUCCUCUCCUUCUCUCUCUUACACAACUUGCCCUUUAAAACAAGCCCUUCUAGCCUAAUCUAAGUCUAAUUAGAUUUAGGAUAAGCUCUAAAGAGUCUUAAAAGGGUUAGUCAAGUUGUCAAGGAGUCAAGAAGAGGUCCAAGUCUGGUUCGAAAAGCGAUUCGACUAAACCA